ensembl:lncRNA
AUUAACAACACGACUAAGCAAUUUGACUAUCUUGUUUGUGAACAAUGACACAAGGACUUUUCAUUCUGAUUGCACUGAUAUGUUCAUUGACAUAAAUACUUCAUCUUAAUCUCUCAAAAGUAAGUCUUUAUGUCAGUGAACAUACAGUAUAUUUACAUACAUACAUACAGUAUCUACUUCUUUGUCUGUCUCCUCACCCUUACACCUACACUUUUAGAGAACUGGUUGAUCACUGGUUGAUGUAAUGUCUUACAUUCCCAGCCAUUAGUAAAUUUCAAGGUUCACCUGCACAAUUCACUAAUGCCUAUAUGUUUUGGACGGUAAGAUGAAACAGAGAAUGAGUAAAAUAUAUUUUGAUCACCAUGACAUUAGCCACUGAUAAUGUAGGAGACAGCAGACAAUUGUACAUAGUCAACUGCAUGAAUGUGUAAGCAUUCGCAGUCAGUUCAAAAGAAUGAAAAAGUGCUUUUAUGAUGUGCACAAGUGACUAGAUAAUGUGGAGGUUGAACAAGUAGUUUUGAGAACUCAAAUUCUGAUCUGAGAAAUGUAUCAAAGCGACUGAGGAAAAACUGUAAUGGGAGUAGAAUUAUUAGAAAUUUUACUAGAAAAGCAAAGUGUAAAGACAAAGCCUAUUCAGAAAAAAAGUUUAAAAAGAACAAUAGAUAGAACUCUAGAUAAAUAGACAGAUCGAUAGAACGAUAGAUAGAAUGAUAGAACAUUAGAUAGAAUCCACCAAUUAGAAGGGGGCGUACACAUACUUCUGACCAUGUAGUGUUUGUCCUUUAAGUUCAAAGGAGCAGCGAGGAAAAGAAAAUGAGCGUACUUUGUUCUUCAUAAUGUUGUUUUAUGUGUGGGCUACAGGUGUGUGUGUGUGUACAGGGUCAUCCACUCUGGCUAAACACACGGACUGCACACUUCACUCCCCCGGCAGCUCCUCCAGCAAGGCUAAUGCACUGACCUCAUAGUUCAAAGGCACACAAAGAGAGAGACAGGACGGCUGAGAUUGAAAGGGUAAAGCGAAGAGGGCUAAAGACUGAAGGUGACAUCCCAACCCCUUGUUCUCAAACAACAUCCCUGAGGCGGUUUCUCAUUAGGCUUCAGAUUAUCACAUUA